rnacentral:rRNA from 1 species
AUCAUUAUUGUAUAACAGAGGUGCCGGGGCUGUCGCCGACUUUGUGCACGCCCCGGNGCUCUCUCACAAUCCAUCUCACCCCCUUUGUGCAUCACCGCGUGGGCGCUCUCCUUUUGGUUCAUUCUGAAAAGGGGGCGUUUGCGUUUUUAUACAGACCACCGCAUGUGUAGAAUGUCUUACUAUUUGCGAUAACACGCAAUCAAUACAACUUUCAACAACGGAUCUCUUGGCUCUCGCAUCGAUGAAGAACGCAGCGAAAUGCGAUACGUAAUGUGAAUUGCAGAAUUCAGUGAAUCAUCGAAUCUUUGAACGCACCUUGCGCCCCUUGGAAUUCCGAGGGGCACACCCGUUUGAGUGUCGUGAACAUCCUUCAACCUUUCUUGGUUUCUUGACCGGGGAAGGCUUGGACUUUGGGGGUUUUUCAUUGCUGGCCUCCCUUGAAGCCAGCUCCUCCUAAAUGGAUUAGUGGGGUCUGCUUUGCCGAUCCUUGACGUGAUAAGAUGUUUCUACGUCUUGGGUUUCGCACUGUCGCUUCAGACCCCGCUUCAAACAGUCUUGCAUCUAAGACAGAGUUUUAUAAACCUUGACCUCAAAUCGGGUGAGACUACCCGCUGAACUUAAGCAUAUCAAUAAGCGGAGGAAAAGAAACUAACAAGGAUUCCCCUAGUAACUGCGAGUGAAGCGGGAAAAGCUCAAA